UGGGGUUUUUUGGUUGGUUUGUUUUGGUUGGGGAGGGGGGAAAUACAACAAAAACUUGUAACUACUUUUGCUGCCUUUCAAAAAAAGCUGUGUGAACAUUUGUAUUACUACCAGCUGGGAACUCUAUAGCUCAGGGGAUUAGUAAUAGAAUAUGGAACUUUUCACCUCCAGCUCACCAGUUAGACCAAGUGGUUAGCUUCUGAAAGUACUUAACAUCUGAUUAUUGUAUGACAGCUUAGAUAAAAUUAAACUGGCUAACCUGGCCCAGUUCCCAAUGGUGAUAAUUAGCCCCCUUGGGCGGGUUUACUAAUGAAUUCUGUCUGUCUCACUGGUCGCUAUAGUGGUGCAAAAAAAACAUAAGCUGAGAUUUCCAUCCCUUCAGCAGGAGGAAACAAUCAGAACAUUUGAGUGAAUCUAGUUCCUUAUUUACAGUCUCAGCAAACAGGCCCAGAACUGGAAUGGACAUGGAUAUUAAAUGUCAUUAUAGGAUAUGGUUCCUUCAGCUCAGUGAUGUGGCACUUAAAUUAGGGUUUGUACUUUGAUGAAUGAGAAGACUUCAUUCUCCAUGCCUGACAAGGUAGUACCCUUUGUGAGCUUGAAGUAAACUAUCUGCAGAAAAAGAAAUGGGACAAAAGCUAAGAAACCAACAAGAUGUCCCAAAUUAGCAAUUCAAUUUGGAGAAGAUUUUGUGUAGUUUUGACCCACCUCAACCUAAAUUAAUUUUGAAGGUUGCUAACAUCUUGGCUCUUUGCACUGCUUUAUCCUUCACCACUUGUUUAAGAGGUUCUGCAAGGAUUUUCUGGUUUUGAGUGAGACUCUUCCAUCCUGCUUUGUUGUAACACAUUUCUCUGCUGAUUCUUGUGCAUAAUUUCUCUGAGACCAGUGCAAAUAUUUGAUGUCAUUGUCAGUGGCUUAUUGUUGAUGUCUGCAUAAAAUGGCAAUCUGAGAUUUAGAAGAUCUUAAAUAAAUUCCAGGUCUGUAUUGCUGAAGGAUGUUUUGCUUUUCUGUAAAAUGAAAUUCUGAAGGACAACCAUUGCUAACCUCAAUGGGUUAGCAAUCCCUUCAGAGAGGGGAGAAAUCUGAAAAUCACGCAUUCCUCAGCCACCUCACAUUUGAGUGAUGUUUUCUUACAGUAAACUAUUUCCAAAGUUGUCUGAUUUUUAUCAUGAUUGGUGUUUCUUUAACAUGGUGCAGUAGUAUGAUAUUGGUUUGGAAACAGACAGGCUUGAUAUGAUAGAUGUGUCUUUGUCACAGCUUAUUUUCUUCUGGAGUCACAAUCUUUGUUUGCGCAUGUCCUUUUAAGAAAAGUUUUCCCAUUUCCCAAUUUAAAUUGCUCAUCAUUCAUUGGAAAUGCAUGCAUAUUGUACAUGUCUGCAGAUGUGUAAAUCAGGUCAAAAAGAGACAUCUGUUUCCUUUACCAUCUGCUUUUUAUUUCAAAUAGAAUUGUGUUGAAAUAUGCUUCAGUUGUUUUGUGGAAGCUGAGAUCAGAGAUGGCUUAUUAUAUUGAAAUAAAUAUGUGUGUAAUUGCUUUUUAUUUGGGUGGUAAGCAUUAGACAAUGGCAUAAGUGCAGUGAAUUUCUUUGUACAGAUUACAGGUACCCUCUCUGAUUUUUUAUAUAAAGGAGUUCUUGCCUUUCCUUCCAACUUUACUAUUAUGUCCCUGUCUUACCCCACUGUCUUGUCCCUCCCGUACAUACAUUUCGCAUCCUUUGGAGCAUGUUGUGAUAUCUCAUUAUGACCUAGAAGUAGCUCUAUCUUGGUCAGUCACUAGAAUGUCAAAAAGCACCUGUAGCAUAAUAAAGCUAUUGAUAUUUUUUGGUUGUACUAACCAUAACUUAGCUGUCAUUUACUAGCAGUAGUUGAUUUUUCUGCCUUCAGUCCUAGGUUUUUCCCCUGGCUAGGUGGAAUGCCAUGUUAAAGGAAAUAUUAAACGAGUUAACAUACACCAACAUGUUAGUGAGACUUUGGUUUCCAAGUAUCAUUCUCUCAAACUGGCUUCUCUCUGAAGCCAUUUUUGAUCAUAAAUUAAAAAAAAAAAAAAAAAAAAG
ensembl:lncRNA